ensembl:lncRNA
UCUCUCCCCUUCUCUCUGUCUUUCUCUCUCCCUCUCUCUCUCUCAGUACCUCUAAAACAAUCUGUUCCCAAAGGUAGUAUACGGUCUGUCUCAGAAUACAACUGCCAUUUGGGUGCCAUUUGGGACAAUACCCUAGAUAUAAAGGCAGGCAGAUGAUGAACCUGUACUGUUAGUGGAGGUUACUGGGACUGUAGUGGAGAUAACUGGGACUGUAGUGGAGGUUACUGGGACUGUAGUGGAGGUUACUGGGACUGUACUGUUAGUGGAGGUUACUGGGACUGUAGUGGAGGCUACUGGGACUGUAGUGGAGAUUACUGGGACUGUAGUGGAUGCUACUGGGACUGUAGUGGAGAUUACUGGGACUGUAGUGGAGAUUACUGGGACUGUAGUGGAGGUUACUGGGACUGUAGUGGAGGUUACUGGGACUGUAGUAGAGAUUACUGGGACUGUAGUAAUUUCAGCUCUGUAGUGCAGCGCUAGUGGAAAGUCAGGUGGAAUUGUAUUUAUUUUUUAUUUUACUCGCAAGGCAGUUAAGGACAAAUUCUUAUUUUCAAUGACGGCCUAGGAACAGUGGGGUUUAACUGCCUUGUUCAGGGGCAGAACGACAGAUUUUUACCUUGUCAGCUCGGGGGAUUCGAUCUUGCAACCUUUUGGUUAUUAGUCCUACACUCUAACCACUAGUCUACCUGCCGCCCCUACACUCUAACCACUAGGCUACCUGCCGCCCCAAUGAAAUCCAGUAGGAAAGGUCUAACCUCAGUAAACUAACUGAAGACUGAAUAGUUUCUGUAAAUGUGUUAUCUAGCUAUAGCAGCUGGCCUUGUCCUCUCCUCACACGGUCCUUUAAUCUAAAGAGACAACAGCCACACAGCAUGUUGAUUACUUACACCAGAUGUUGCAGGAAUACCCCCCCCUCCCCCCCUGUUGAGAGAUAUUACAGUUCAAUUGAACUGAAUUGAGUGUAGUCCAUCAGAAAUCCAACCUGGCCACCUCUAACUGAUUAGGACUAAGAUACACUAAACUCAAAAAAGGAAAAGUUGCACCAACUCAAAAACAAAACAAACAAAACAACCCGAAGAAGCAGCAGAAAACGUGGUUGGAAGAUUGGUCCACUUGUAUUUACCAUCGUUGUUGUUUUUCUUCAUACUGCUUUUUGAACGUUGCAGUAGGAACAAUUGAAGACAUUGACAUCAACAAUUGACAUCAGUAGUCACGCUUGAUUGAGGUUAUUCAUUAUGCAGUAGUUAGGUUGUGAAGUAGCCGUAGUCCAAUGAUAAGUUCUCUCUCUCUCUCUUCCCGAGAAGGUAAGUCUUUCGGUCAAGUUGUCUCAAUUGCUGCUGCCAGUGGAGAUGGAGGUCAGUGAUCCAUCUUUACCCUCCCUUUCCACUGCUUUCUUCUUCGUCUCAUCUUUGAAGAAGAGGAGCGGGAACAUCCCUAAGAUGCAGCCGAUGGCAACUCCGAUGGCUUUACC